AUUGAACGCUGGCGGCAGGCCUAACACAUGCAAGUCGAGCGGAGCGGCGGACGGGUGCGUAAUGCUUAGGACUCUGCCUGGUAGUGGGGGAUAACGUCCGGAAACGGGCGCUAAUACCGCAUACUAUCAGAUGAGCCUAGGUCGGAUUAGCUAGUGGGGGGGGUAAAGGCCUACCAAGGCGACGAUCCGUAACUGGUCUGAGAGGAUGAUCAGCCACACUGGAACUGAGACACGGUCCAGACUCCUACGGGAGGCAGCAGUGGGGAAUAUUGGACAAGGGGCGAAAGCCUGAUCCAGCCAUGCCGCGUGUGUGAAGAAGGCCUUCGGAUUGUAAAGCACUUUAAGUUGGGAGGCGUUACCAGCAGAAUAAGCACCGGCUAACUUCGUGCCAGCAGCCGCGGUAAUUC
rnacentral:rRNA from 1 species